CACAGUUGUUGUUCAUCAGGUACCGCAAGGUUCAAUAGGGAAUCCCGUGCAAUCCGGGAACGGUCCCGCCGCUGUGAACGGGGACGAAAUCCGCCAAAGCCACUGUCACGCGCAAAGCGUGAUGGGAAGGGGUGGAGACUAGGACGAUCCGUGAGUCAGAAGACCUGCCUGAUGAUCCAGGGUCGA
rnacentral:ncRNA from 2 species